CCUUCCUUCAAAAAAGGACUCUUCUUCAAUCCGUCCUCCGGUCUCGAGGAAUCCUCUUCGGCAAUGGCAACUCCUCCGCCCUCCUCCUAUAAGAACCUCCUCCUCGCGCGAGCCACCUGAUUUGCUGAGAUCGUGGUAACACGCAAGUGCGGCGCGGAGCUCGCUCAAGGUCGAUGCGCCCCGUGGUGGUGGCGUUCGAGGCGGGUCGGCCCGAGCUGGGUCAAUCCAACCGCCGUCGCCAGCCAUGUGUUCUUGAUCCCGUGGACGACCUCACCGACAACAAGCAGGAUAGCUACGAUGAAUUGUGGACGGGCCCAGCAGCGUCCUAUGUGCGGGCGCCGGCGACGUUCUUCGCCUUGUGGACGUGCUCCACGUCGAUCCCGGCGAGGACGUCUACAUCUCCGUCCCCAGGGCUUCUAUCGACACCACGAGGUCACCGACAUCACCGCUGGAUGCGCCACAUCUUGCCCUCCCCUACUGCUAGCCAAUGGGCUGCUGCUCUCCUAGACGAGCUACGGUAGCCGCCCACAGGGUGUUUGACGGAAUUCCCAUCAAGGAUGGCAUCACUUGGGCGACCAUAGACUUCGAUGGAGGUUUCCACGACGAAGCAGUAAGUCUUUUGACCUGCAUGUGUCACGAAUGACAGGGACUCAUUGGUGCUAUGCUCGUCCAUGCCAUUGUGGCUGUGUUUGGCUGAGCAAACCAAGGAACUUCAGUGAGCUGUUGCAGCGCAUAAAGAGAGCCUGCAAUGAUGUAGGUAGUUCGGCCUGCUACGCCGGACGCGAGGUUGCCAUCAAGAUGUCAGCAAGCCAUUUAAAGCUGGAAAGGAGUGAUAUGAUUCAUGCCUCUUCACACUGUAUACAAUCUGAUGAAGAGGGAAUCAAGGUUCUCUUCUUCUGUCCUGUGAAUAUUUUGUUUUCUAUUUGUAGAAAAACAAAGCAGCAAGCCUCCUCGCAGCUUCCAUUAAAAACCCAUGUGCCAGAAAGUUCUUAGCAUGAAACCAAGUACUACCACAUUUCUGAACUGUGUAUUUUAGUGAAAUCUCUUGGAGUUUAUGGAUCUGGUGGAACAAAUAUUGUUUAGACAUGAUUGUUUUUCUCCAUAGUUACUUUCUAAAUCAUUAUUAUUAUUCUCCUAAUAGUAUACUCUCCAUUUCAUAAAAGUGCAAUUUGAUUUGAGAAUCCGGGGAUGGACGAGACAGGUUUGUACCAAACAAUUUCCUCGGAAAUUUCUUACAAUCCCCUACAAAAUAGACAGUAUGACUAUUAGGAGAACUGUUUGCAAGGGGAUGGACGAGACAGAACCAUCCUUUUCUUUGUAGGGAAGCAAAUAUUUUGGGUUGUAUCAUACUAACGUGAGACGGAAUGGAUCAGUAUGAGGUGUUGGAUCAGACUUGGAAGGGCUCUUUGGCUCUACACUCCAGGUAUGUCUCCAAGGUUGCAAGGGAUAUGACAUUGCCUUUGUUGUGCUCGGGAAUAAGUGGUCAUGAAAAAUACAGCUCCGCAACUCUGCAACCAAAAAAGCUCUCUGAACUUGCCGCUGAUUCAUCUAACUGCUCCUGCUGCUCUUGGCUGCCUUCGAAUGAAGGUACUGCUUCGGUGCUAGAUUGGAUGGAUAAGCAAGAAAGCAAACUGAAUGGGAAAAGAUUGGGAGCAUAUGCAUUGGUUUGGAAACUAAAAAAAGGAGAAGAUAAGAGUAUGUGGUGGACAAAGGUCACCCGUUUAUCAACAACUAGGUGCCGGCUUCGUUUUUUAAAGCAAGACUUCCAAAAUAUUAUUUUGUGAAUGUAUAAAUUUGUAUCUAAUAAAAUUGAGCAGGUUGACUUUUACACUGAUUGUGUAAUAUUGACAUAUUCUUAUCAGUUUUUUUCAAGCUUUUCUAUUGUUA